ACGAACGCUGGCGGCGUGCUUAACACAUGCAAGUCGAACGAACGACCAUAGAGGAUUCCUUCGGGAUGAUAAUUGGAAGUUAGUGGCGGACGGGUGAGUAACGCGUGGGUAACCUGCCCUUUAAAUUGGGACAACAGUUGGAAACGACUGCUAAUACCGAAUGAUACGGUUGAGAGGCAUCUCUUAAUCGGGAAAGAUGGCUGAGCUUGAUGCUAUCGUUAAAGGAUGGACCCGCGUCUGAUUAACUAGUUGGUGAGGUAACGGCUCACCAAGGUAGCGAUCAGUAGCCGACCUGAGAGGUGAUCGGCCACAUUGGGACUGAGACACGGCCCAAACUCCUACGGGAGGCAGCAGUGGGGAAUUUUCCGCAAUGGGCGCAAGCCUGACGGAGCAACGCCGCGUGAAUGAAGAAAGGCCUUCGGGUUGUAAAGUUCUGUCAUAAGGGAAGAAUGGUCUAUAUGUAAAUAAUGUAUAGAUGUGACGGUACCUUAGGAGGAAGCCACGGCUAACUACGUGCCAGCAGCGGC
rnacentral:rRNA from 1 species